AAAAUCUCAACUGAUUUAGAAGAGAAGCAUUUAUUAGAUAAAAAACCAAUAUAUGUUUUUAAAGCAUAUAAGUUGGUGAUUUAGAAUAACUAAGCAAAUCGCACAGUGUAAACUGGCGAUAAAUCAUUCAAGUUUCUGACCUAUCAGCUUUCGACGGUAAGGUAUUGGCUUACCGUGGCAGUGACGGUUAACGGGGAAUUAGGGUUCAAUUCCGGAGAGGGAGCCUGAGAAACGGCUACCACAUCUAAGGAAGGCAGCAGGCGCGCAAAUUACCCAAUUCUAAUAGCAUAAGAGAGGUAGUGACAAGAAAUAACAGUACAAGGCAGAUAAAAUGCUUUGUAAUUGGAAUGAUAGAAAUUUAAAUACUUUUUAAAGUAUCAAUUGGAGGGCAAGUCUGGUGCCAGCAGCCGCGGUAAUUCCAGCUCCAAUAGCGUAUAUUAAAAUUGUUGCAGUUAAAAAGCUCGUAGUUGAAUUUUUGCUAAAAAUAACCGGUCUGCUUUUAUUAAUAAAAGUGGUAUCUUGGUGUGUUUUUAGCAAUAAUGUCCUUUGAAAUGUGUUUUACUUUAUUGUAAAUAGCAAUUUUCAGGAUUUUUACUUUGAGAAAAUUAGAGUGUUUCAAGCAGGCUAACGUUUUGAAUACUGCAGCA
rnacentral:rRNA from 1 species